rnacentral:snRNA from 1 species
AACAUACCUGGUUGGGUGGUGACCGUGACCAAGCAGGCGGUCCCACUAUCCGGCUGCCCUUUCUUGCACUUCAAAGGCUGGCUGGGUAGUGCUGUGCCCCCAGUGGGCGCAGCACACAGCAUAAUUUUUGGUAGCGGUGGGGAGAUGCGCUUCGGUGUGUC